CGAACGGUAACAGGAAGCAGCUUGCUGCUUUGCUGACGAGUGGCGGACGGGUGAGUAAUGUCUGGGAAACUGCCUGAUGGAGGGGGAUAACUACUGGAAACGGUAGCUAAUACCGCAUAACGUCGCAAGACCAAAGAGGGGGACCUUCGGGCCUCUUGCCAUCGGAUGUGCCCAGAUGGGAUUAGCUAGUAGGUGGGGUAACGGCUCACCUAGGCGACGAUCCCUAGCUGGUCUGAGAGGAUGACCAGCCACACUGGAACUGAGACACGGUCCAGACUCCUACGGGAGGCAGCAGUGGGGAAUAUUGCACAAUGGGCGCAAGCCUGAUGCAGCCAUGCCGCGUGUAUGAAGAAGGCCUUCGGGUUGUAAAGUACUUUCAGCGGGGAGGAAGGGAGUAAAGUUAAUACCUUUGCUCAUUGACGUUACCCGCAGAAGAAGCACCGGCUAACUCCGUGCCAGCAGCCGCGGUAAUACGGAGGGUGCAAGCGUUAAUCGGAAUUACUGGGCGUAAAGCGCACGCAGGCGGUUCGUUAAGUCAGAUGUGAAAUCCCCGGGCUCAACCUGGGAACUGCAUCUGAUACUGGCAAGCUUGAGUCUCGUAGAGGGGGGUAGAAUUCCAGGUGUAGCGGUGAAAUGCGUAGAGAUCUGGAGGAACACCGGUGGCGAAAGCGGCUCUCUGG
rnacentral:rRNA from 1 species